rnacentral:lncRNA from 1 species
CUAGGCUGUGUGUGUGUGUGUGUGUGUGUGUGUGUGUGUGUGCGCGCGUGCGCGCGCGCGCGCGCCUGUAAUCGCGGCUGGUGUAGUUAAAUCUAGAUUCUGCAUGAGAAAAUAGAAAUAGCUCAUUUUCCUUUUCACUUCAUUCUGCUUUUCCCUCCUUUUAAAACUCUUCUGCCUCCAUCAUAGCCUCACUUCUAGCUUCAUGCCCUAUGAAUUCUGAAAUUUAUGGCGUUUCCCCUGAGCUGUCACUUGGCAGGAAUGUCAGAAAUCACCUACAGUGCACAGUGGACAAUUGCCAUCCAGACUCAUGCUUGUGGAAGCUGCUCCUGUUUAGGAGUCUCAACAUCCUGAUGAAGAAGGGAGACUGGUGAGCCAGAGGUCAUGCUAGCAGCCCAGUGUGGACUCCACAAGAGUUAGGAAAGCUGCCACAAACCCAAGCGGACUCCACAAAGCAAUCGCCAUGCCUCAGUAACAGCUGCCUGUCCCCACAGUGUGGCUCCCACUGUAGGCUUCUGAGCAGAUGAUGCUAAUCAUGUAUGUUGGACCACUUACUGAUUUUUCCAGUGCUGAGGGCUGGUGGAAACCCACAUGUGGGGAUAUGCAGGGAGAGGGGUGAUGGGAUGCUUGUUCUGUGUCCUGUCCUUUCUAGCCUGAUGAAGGAAUAAACUAGCAAA